rnacentral:rRNA from 1 species
UAUGCCUACGGGACGCAGCAGUGGGGGAUAUUGCACAAUGGGGGGAACCCUGAUGCAGCAACGCCGCGUGGGUGAAGAAGCGCCCCGGCGCGUAAAGCCCUUUUAUCAGGGACGAAACAAAUGACGGUACCUGAUGAAUAAGCCACGGCUAACUACGUGCCAGCAGCCGCGGUAAUACGUAGGUGGCAAGCGUUAUCCGGAUUUACUGGGUGUAAAGGGCGUGUAGGCAGGCUUGCAAGUCAGAUGUGAAAUUCCAGGGCUCAACCCUGGAACUGCAUUUGAAACUGUAGGUCCUGAGUGCUGGG